AGUAUGUGGUCUGGUCAACAACCAGUAGACUCUUUAUAGGACAAUAUAAUAUACCCAGCAGAUAAGAAGCCGUGAGGUUGCUCCCUUGUGCCUGAUAUAUAAAGGUGGUAUGAGGCUAAGGGUCCAGUCUCAGUGUGGUGUCAGCACUCAUCACAUCAGGGUCACUUUCUCUCUCGCACUACAAAAGUAAGAUGUAAUAAUUUUCAAUAUUCUAGUUGCAGGGCACAAAUGCCUUGAUAAAGCCUGAGCGUCGGGUCCGACACCAGCAAGACCCGCCCGUUUGAAUUUUUUUUUGAAGACCCUACAACCCAUGGAAUGGUCUUCUUCCAAGGGGACCAUUCCAUGGUCCAAGUACCGGUGAUCUUAACCCAUUAACAAACGCAUAUAUCCCUACUAUACGUAUAUUCCGAAAAAUAUAUAUAUGAGAAGGUAAAGGUAAUCAAUAAUCUAGCUGAGAAAAAGUGAUGAUUCUUGUCACUUGACAGUGCUGAGGAAGCUGACGCUGGUGGCUGUGCUGACGGCGCUGACGGCGGUGAUGGCGGCGAAAGUAACGAAAAAUGACCAAGCUGGAAAUGUCCAAACUGUCAGUCACAGUGUACACAUCGAGGGCACUGACACGGAUGAAUCUAAAAUGCCUGACGGUGAAGACAGCGAUGUUACCAUUAAAUAUAGCGUCAAAUCCGAUAAAGUGAGCACUAGACAGCGCUAGAAGACGCCGUCAGUUACAUCCAAGAACUUCAUAAUAUAGAACAUGAAUAACAUGUUCUCGUAGCACGUAAUACAGAUUAUAAUAAGUUCCUGACCAGA